CGCCGGGACCUUCGCUGGAUCACACCGCGGAAGAGCGAGCCGAGGUCGCCGCCAUGCUCGCAGCGUUGGGCUCCCUGGCGGCUGCCUUCUGGACCGUUCUCCGUCCCCGCACUGUCCUGCUGGGGGCCGUCGCCUUUCUCUUCUUUGCUGAUUUCCUCAAAAGGCGGCGCCCGAAGAACUACCCGCCGGGGCCCCCGAGCCUGCCCUUCGUAGGCAACUUCUUCCAACUGGACUUUGAGAAGGGGCACCUGUCGCUUCAGAGGUUUGUGAAGAAAUAUGGGAACCUUUUUAGCCUGGAAUUCGGUGACUUGCCUUCAGUUAUUAUAACUGGAUUGCCCUUAAUCAAAGAAGUCCUUGUCCACCAGGACCAAAACUUUGUGAACCGCCCUAUAACCCCUAUUCGAGAACGUGUUUUUAGGAAAAAUGGCUUGAUCAUGUCCAUAGGCCAGGUAUGGAAGGAACAAAGAAGGUUUGCCCUGACAACACUGAAGAACUUUGGUUUAGGAAGGAAGAGCUUAGAGGAGCGCAUUCAGGAAGAGACCCACUUCCUCAUCCAGGCAAUAGGAGAGGAGAACGGACAGCCUUUCGACCCUCACUUCAAAAUCAACAAUGCAGUUUCCAAUAUUAUUUGCUCCAUCACAUUUGGGGAGCGCUUUGACUAUGAGGACGAUCAGUUCCAGAAGCUGCUGAGGCUGCUGGAUGAGGUCACAUAUCUCGAGACAUCAAUGUGGUGCCAGCUCUACAAUGUCUUUCCAAGGAUAAUGAAUUUCCUUCCUGGACCCCACCAAAUGCUCUUCAGGAACUGGGAGAAACUGAAAAUGUUUGUUGCCCGUGUGAUUGAAAACCACAAGAGAGGUUGGAAUCCUGCUGAAGCAAGAGACUUCAUUGAUGCUUACCUCAAGGAAAUAGAAAAGCAUAAGGGCAGUGCUACUUCAAGUUUCCACAAAGAAAACCUCAUCUACAGCACCCUGGACCUCUUCUUUGCUGGAACGGAGACAACUUCGACGACCCUGCGCUGGGCUCUGCUCUACAUGGCCCUCUACCCCGAAAUCCAAGAAAAAGUCCAAGCUGAGAUCGACAGGGUGCUUGGCCAAUCACAGCAGCCGAGCACGGCAGCUCGAGAGUCCAUGCCCUACACCAACGCUGUCAUCCACGAGGUGCAGAGAAUGGGAAACAUCAUCCCCAUGAAUGUGCCCAGAGAGGUGACAGUGGACACCACCCUGGGUGGAUACCACCUGCCCAAGGGGACCAUGGUCCUGACCAACCUGACUGCACUGCACAGGGACCCCGCAGAGUGGGCCACUCCCGACAUGUUCAAUCCAGAGCAUUUUCUGGAGAAUGGACAGUUUAAGAAAAGGGAAGCCUUUCUGCCUUUCUCAGUAGGUAAGCGGAUGUGCCUUGGAGAACAGUUGGCAAGAACUGAGUUGUUUAUUUUCUUUACUUCCCUUGUGCAAAAAUUCACCUUCAGGCCUCCAAACAAUGAGAAGCUGAGUCUGAACUUCAGAAUGAGCCUGACCAUCUCUCCAGUCAGCCACCGCCUCUGUGCCGUUCCUCGGGCAUGAAGUUGUCGGGGAGGGAGAGGGUAAGGAAAGCAGGAAGAAUGGCCGUGUCACCCCAAGGCAGGAGCGCCUGCUCAGCAGUGAGGGAACAGCAUGCAGUGCCUCUGAGGACAGGUCAUAGGAACUGGACUCAGAGGAAACAGGAUCCAAACCCCAGCUUUGCCAUCUCCAGUGGAGCCUUGAGCAAAUCAGUCAGAUCAUCCACGUAGAAGACUGAGAAAUUGGCCAAAAGACUUUCCAUUAUGUACUGUCUCCUCAACUGUUAAAUGAAGGACUUUGUUGAGUGAUCUCUGAAUUCCGUUCCUGCACUGCUGUUCAUUUUCCAUGAUUCUAAGUGGGCAGGCAUUUAUGUACUUGCUGUGGAAUCAAUGGAAAACCCUCGGACACUCAUCCUGACCUAAUAGAUGCAAUGGGACCCAGAGCCAAGUACAGUGUGACCACAAUUAACCAGAAAGCUUGGGGACACAUGACUGAGAGUAGCUGAAUUUUCUGGUCAUAUAAAAUGUCUCCUUCUUUCCCCAAAGCUCAUUGGAGAAACUCUAAAAUAUGAAUUCUCUUCCUGUCCAAGCAUGACACAAAGAUUUUGUUUUCUUCACUUUUGUAACUCUCUUGUUGCUGGUCCAUUUUGGAAGCUCCUGCUCCCCUUUCCCUCUUCCUUUGUAUAUGUGUCUGACACACAGGAGGCCCCCAAUCCACCAGGGCCCUCCAUGUGCAUUGCCCUUGAGGGGGUCAUGCUUUUCCUCUACGUAAUGCCUCUCUCCCAAUCUUGGGCAUCUGCAAAUUCAGCUCCUUUUAUCCCAUAUUACCAGUGCAGUCAGUCCUCUUGCUAGGAUCCAAGAUGACCCCAAGCUGGCUGUGCAAUAGGGUCCACAAUAUGUCACAUUAUGACAAAGAUGACAUUAUGUGGAGAUCCCUCCCAAAAGAGCCCUCUCAAGAGAGCCACUGCAGUCGCCCUCACUGAGCCUAUUGCCUAUAGGAAGUUUCAAACCUCCAUGUGACACUCGUUCUUGUACUCCAGGAACUCCACACAGCACAGGUAAAUCCCUCUUGGCUUGAAGCCUCCUCCCUGGUGAGGGGUAACUAUGUCCCUCCCUCCUUUGUGGGAGAUGGGUGGGAAGUAAGGGGGACCCUCCUGUUAAAGAAAACCAGAGAUGAACAGUAGUAAAGUGUCAAAACCAGACUUCAUUCAUGACUAUUGCAAUAGAAGGAGAGAGUCUUCAGUAUAGAACUGGGCUCAAUUCUGCAUAAAGCAUGGACAGGUGGGGCUUUACAGCCAAGGAGCAGGGUGGGGUCAGUGGAUGGAAAAGGACAAGGUUAAACUGAUUCCACAGGAGUCUGGCUGAAGGCAGGCCCGGGUGAUCAGAUAUUGAGGGUAAGGGUUUCCCUCUAAUCUGGCUGAGCAAGAAUCUUGCUGCAACUUGCAAGCCAGACAAGGACAGUCACCAAGGUCAAUGUCUAGAGAGUUUAGAGCAUCCUGACUAAAGUUUACUCCAGCAGAGUCCUUUCCUCACCUUACCACCUAUUAUAUACCCUCUUUCCAGGCAGUGGGCUACAGGGUUACAAAAGCUGUUUCCACGUACCCGUGGCAGGGCCCGUACAGCGUCCCAGUGACUUACUUUAGACCUGGGGCCUCACCAGCACUUGGCAGGGACCACUUGACUGGCAGAAACUGGGACUCCAGCUGAAACUGAGAAAGAAAGAAGCCCUUUUUCACAUUCCUUUACAAAUGUGCUAUCCGGGCCACAAUCAGACCGUGAUGCUAUUUCUCUUUUUAUGUUGAAUGAAAGUGUAGAUGAAUGACACAGGACUCCUUAGGACAUUGCUGUUUCCAAAGGUCAGCACUGUGAAUGGCAGGAACAGGCCAGGACUAUAAAUGUAGCAGAAAUUGGACCAACGCUGUACAGCUGUGAC